AGGUCACUGCUAUCGGUGUUCCAUUAAGCCAUGCGAGUCGUGAGGGGUAAAGCCCUCGGCGGAGUGCUCAGUAACACGUGGACAACCUACCCAAGAGUCAGGGAUAACCCCGGGAAACUGGGGAUAAUACCUGAUAGGCCAUGACAUCUGGAAUCGAGUUGUGGUUUAAACGUAAGGCUCUUGGAUGGGUCUGCGGCGGAUUAGGUUGUUGCCGGUGUAACGUACCAGCAAGCCUGUAAUCCGUACGGGUUGUGGGAACAAGAGCCCGGAGAUGGAUUCUGAGACACGAAUCCCGGCCCUACGGGGCGCAACAGGCGCGAAAACUCUACAAUGCAAGCCACUGCGAUUGGGGAACAUCGAGUGGCAUCCACCAUGGAUGUCUGUCCAAUCGUCUAAAAAACGAUUGUCAGCAAGGGCCGGGCAAGACCGGUGCCAGCCGCCGCGGUAAUACCGGCGGCUCGAGUGGUGGCCGAUAUUAUUGAGUCUAAAGGGUCCGUAGCCGGCUUUGCAAGUCCUAUGGGAAAUCCAGCGGCUUAACCGUUGGGCUUUCAUGGGGAUACUACAUUGCUUGGGACUGGGGAGAGGUAGGAGGUACUCAGGGGGUAGGGGUGAAAUCCUGUAAUCCUUUGGGGACCACCGGUGGCGAAGGCGUCCUACCAGAACAGGUCCUACGGUGANGGACGAAAGCUAGGGGCACGAACCGGAUUAGAUACCCGGGUAGUCCUAUCCGUAGACCAAUGCUCGCUAGGUGUCCCGGCAGUCGUGAAUAUGUCGUGAUGCCGGAGGGGAAGUCCGUGAAGCGAGACACAUGGGUACGUACGACCGCAUGCUCGAUAACUUACACGAAUU
rnacentral:rRNA from 1 species